rnacentral:sRNA from 1 species
AUUUAAAUUGAAAAAACAUUUUAAUAUUUAUUGUAAUAUUAUACCGUUUACCCGAAAUAAAACGGUGGUUUGGGUAUAAAAAUAUUGGAAUAAUAUUAAAAGGCGAAAACGAGGCGUUAAAAACAAUUUAACAGGAUAAUUUUCCAGCAAAAAAACCAAAAAAACCGAAAAAAAUAGGAACGGAAAGGACGGGAAAUCGCAAAUUACCCAAAACAAUUUUUCCCAACGCAAAAACAAAAGUAAAACCAAAGGAAAUAACGGAAAUUCCGGCGGAAAUUGGAUAAAACGCAAACCCAACGAAAAAAAAAACGCAAAUCCGGGGGGUCCGACAAUUUUAAAUAUCGGAAAAAUCGAAAAAAUAAAACCAUUGAAAAACCAAUUCGGUGUUACCGUUGCAAUAGUAAUACGCAUUUCGUUUAUUAAUAUCCGGAAAAAAUUUCGGGGUUAGGUAAACAGCAAACCAAAAUUUCGGAUUAAUUUAAAACCAAAAAGGAAAUUAAAAUUUAAAUAAUUAAAGGCAAAAAUACGCAAAAUAACCUUUUUAAAAAACCUAUUAUUAUAUUUAAUAAAUUUAAUACCCCAAUUUUACCCCAACGUCCCAUAUUUUGAAUUUCGGUUCGUUUGUUAAAUUUACCUGGAAUUAUUACCCAAAUGGCCAUAAAUACGGGUGCAAAAGUUAAUUUAAUAAAUAAAAUUUUUGCGUUAUAAUAUUAAUUAUUUUUGCAAAUAUGCAAAAUAUUAGUUAUUAUUAAUGUGGAAUAGGACGAAAUUAUUACCAAAGGAAUUUAUUUUGUACAAUUAUAGGUUAUUAAUUUUCGAAAUAUUUUUAAAAAAAUGGAACGUUUGUAUAUUGCGAUAUAAAAAAUAAAAGGAAAUUUUCCUAUUAUUUGGAAAAGGCCGGUUUUGGCAAACGAAAAUAUUAUUAUAAAUAAUUCCACGUACCAAUAAUGGUUUAAAAUAAUAAAAAAGGAUUUUCAAAUGUGCAAUAACGCCAAAAGAAUUUUAUAUUCGGUUAAGGGAUAUAUACGGAUUUAUACCGUUAUUUUAGCAAAUUAUUUAUUUCCCGUUUUACCCGACGAAAAUAAAAAAAAGGAUUUUUUUUCCAAACGAAAAAUCAUUUUACCGCAAAAAUAUAAAAAUUACCAAAAUAUUUUUUUUAAAAUAAGCAAUUAAAGGUAUAUUUAUUAAUAUUAAUGCAAUUUAUCCCAUUAAUUUAAUCGAAAAAAAAAUAUUUCCGCAUUUGCCCAUUUAUUUUUUAUUACCAAAAAAAUUGGCCGAAUUACAAAAAUAUAUUAAAAAAAACCUGAAAUUUAAACGUAUCCGCAAAUCCAAUAAUUUUGCAAAAACACCCAUUUUUUUUAUUUCCAAAAAGGAUAAUAUAUUGCGUUUUUGCGUGGAUUAUCGAAAUUUGAAUUCGGUUAUUAAAAAAACAGGUAUUUUUUACCCCUAAUUGCAAAAAUUAUGGACCGCGUGUAAAAUUCGCAAUAAUUUACCAAAUUGGAUUUUAAAAAUAUAUAUUACAAAAUCCGUAUUAGGAAAAGGGAUAAAUAAAAAACUGUUUUUCGCAUUCGUUAUAAUUAUUUUAAAUAUAUUAUUAUGUUUUUUGGUUUUUGCAAUACCCCUGCAAUUUUCCAAAAUUAUAUAUAAAAAAUUUUAGGAAAUUUCGUGGAUCGUUAUUGCGUUAUAUAUUUAAAUAAUAUUUUAAUUUAUUCCCCUAAUAAAAAAACCUAUAAAAAAUAUGUACGAAAAAUUUUGGAAAGAUUUAGGGAAACGAGCUUUUACGUUAAAUUGUUUAAAUGCGAAUUUUAUAUACAAAGAAUUAAAUUUUUGGAUUAUAUAAUUAAUAUAUAGGGAAUGUCCAUAAAUUUACGCAGGGUAACCGCUAUUUAGAAAUAAUUUGCACCCAAAUUAUAUUAUAAUAUUUACGUUUUUUUGGGGUUUUGCAAUUUUUAUCGCCGUUUUAUUCGUCGUUAUUUAUCCAUUGCACGCCUUUUAUCAAAUUUAUUUAAAAGUAUAAAAAAAAAAAGGAAACCCGGAAAUAUUACGCCUUUAAAACGUAAUAUUGUUUUGGCAAUUUUUGAAAAAUUGAAAAUUGCGUUUUUUUAGGCGUUUUUGCUACGUUAUUACGAUUUUUUAUUCCCUAUAUAUUUGGAAACCGAUAUUUCGGUAUACGUAUAGGGGGCGAUUUUAUUAUAAUUUUUUAAAAA